UUGGUGAUUUACCGGUCUUUCAGUCAUUCAACAAACUCUCUGUUUUCUUGAGACAGGGUCAACUUUGUCUUGAAGUAGGUAGCCCAGGCAGGCCUUGAACUUGCAGUGAUCCUCCUGCCUCAGUCUCCGAAGCCCUGGGAUUACAGGCCCACGGUGCCCCGGCUGCAGCAGUUGUAGGAGACUUUCUUCUCGACCUGCACCAUGAGGGGCCUCUGGAGGGAAAAACGGGGCCCAGCUGUGUAACUCAGACCGGCUUUGAACUCACCAUGUAGCCCAGGCUGGCCUCAAAGCACGGAAGAUCGUCCUGCCUCAGCCUCCUGAGUGCCGGCGUUCCGGCUGUGCACCACCACACCCAGCCCUGAAUUUGGAUGGCUUCCUGGCAGGCAAAUGGUGUAUGUGGUCACUGCUAGAAUUCUCAGCAGCCUAGGGAUAUUAAAUGUGUUUCGACCUUAAUGAUAGUUUUAAUUUAUGAUAGGUUUAACUGCACAGACAGAACCAUAAAACAUCGGUAUAUGAGCUCAUUUUUAUUCUUAGAGGUCAGACAUCAAUCCCAGGGCGUCUCCUGCUAGACAAGGACUCUGAGCUAUAGCCCCAGGCCUUUUAAAUGGUAUUUUGUGGUCAGGUUGCCCAGGCUGGCCUAGAUCAAGAUCUUCCUGCCUCAGCCUCCUAAGUAACUGGAAUGAUGGGUCUAGAAGUCAGCAGCUGGGGGUGGUGACACAUGCCUGUCAUCACAGCACUCUGGGAGGCUGAGGCAGGAGGAUCAAAAAUUUGAGCCUGGGCAACUUAGUGACUCAGCAAGACAGCAUCUCAAAAUGAAAACGGUUAGGGCACACAUGAAAGAAUAAACACCCCAGCCACGCUCACAGCCCGAGGCACGGAUUUCCACAAAGGAGACCUACAGAUUGAAAAGCUCUCCAGAGCAAAUGUGGCUUUUCCUCCGGGCCUUGGCUGACCCCUGACCCCUGACCUUCCAUCUCACCUUUCACCCUCUGCCUCUGGCCGUCCCACCCUCUCCCCUGGAAGCCUAGCCCUGCAGGCAGGCGCUUCCAGUGCCCUAAGACAGCCACAGCCUGGCUUCUACCCAGUCCAAAAGCAGGUCCCCAGAGCCUGGCAUGUGGCACACAGCUGUCAUCGCAGCACUCGGGAGGCUGAGGCAGGAGGAUCCGCGGGCCUGAGAAUUCAUGGUGACAUGGUGAUGCCACCCCCCCAGGCCCAGCCAGUACCCUGGUUAGGGGAUUCGUACCGGGGUGGAACCCAGGGCUGUCACCCUGGGCCGCUUCUCCAGCCCUCUGUAUCUUUUAUUUUUGGGGGGGCUCUCUGGGUAAAUCAGUAAGUUGCCUGGGCCGGGCUAGAACUGCAGAUCCUCCUGCCUCAGCCUCUCAGCACGCUGGGCCAAAUGACCUUGCAGCAGGUCACAGAGCAGCAGGAUUUUGGACUCCCCUCUUCCUCCUCCUCCUCCUCCUCCUCCUGUCUUUCUGAGACAAGGUCUCACUGUGCAGUUCUGGCUGGCCUUGAGCUCGCUUUGUAGCCCAGGCUGUUCUCAAAUUUGGAAGGAUGCUCCUGCCUCAGCCUCCUGAGCUGUGAUGACAGGAGUGCCCCACCACACCCGGUUUUUAAUCUGGAUUUUGAGAGCCAAACCAUCAACCCUGCACUUGUGUCACCCUAAUGCUCUGAGGACAGAUGCCACCCUGGGCCCCGUGGCCUUCGCCAGUGUCACUCCCUGGGUGCCCCGCUGGGUGUGGCUUCAGACAGGGACACACUUCAGAGGGGCAAAAGUGGCUCCUGGCCUUGGCUGUCCUGGAACAGAGGCCACCGAGGGUCCUGUCUGCCGGACAGAGGGACAGAGGGACAGAGGGCAGGUGAGCUCAGGCGUGCCGGGCCCUGCGGGCAGGGGUGGGCAGCGUGCGCCCUCUGCCUGCCUCACAUGUCCCCACACGGGGCAUGUUUUGAAAUUCCGUAUCAUUGUUUUUAUUUUUCUCUUUAAACGAACCAAAAAGACCCCACGCCCUGCAGAGGCCACCUUGCCCCUCCUCUCUUGUCCUUCAGAGUCCCCAGCGACCCGGCUCCUCUGCGCCCCUGACCACGGGUCCCUCGGGGGGUGGCCGGGGCCACUGCCCAGUGCCCGGGCAGGCAGUGCCCUUCCUGCACAGCCCGGGUCAGCGUGCCCGCCUGCCCGCUGGCGCAGUACCUGGGGGCAGUUCUCCUGGACGCCAUCUGAGGUGCCCUGCACCAGCAGGUAGACCUUCUUCCGGCCCAGGAUGUGCUCGCGGCCCAUGCAGGAGGCCUGGAUGAAAUAGGAGAUGUGGCCGGUCUUGCUGGCGAAGGAGGACGGCAGCCUGGGAGGUGACACGUUUGGGGUGCUACAGUCUUCCCACCUAGGCAGGGGAAGCAGCUCUGCUGCUCACAUUUCCGGAGGUUUGUUGACUGACUCUCAGCUGUGUGUCCCUGCUAGACCGAGCUCCUACGAUGGCUAUGGCCUUCCUUACCCGCCACCGGGAAUGUCUUAGUUUUAUGCACGUAGUCUGCCUUGUUGUUACAAAUAACAUCUCUGCUAUAAUCCAGGGUCUCCCCGGUCUCUUCAUUCCACUCGACGUAACCCCGUCCUACAAGCUCCACCUUCACUACGGGGUCCACCAGGGUGCUGUACAGGGUUAGAACCACCUGGCCCUCCACGGUGGAGCCGGCCAG